GGGGUUGUGGCUCAGCGGUAGAGCACUUGCCUGGCAUGUGUGAGGUCCUGGGUUCAAAUCCUAGCACCA
rnacentral:tRNA from 1 species